UACGAAGGGGGCUAGCGUUGUUCGGAAUUACUGGGCGUAAAGGGCUCGUAGGUGGCCAACUAAGUCAGACGUGAAAUCCCUCGGCUUAACCGGGGAACUGCGUCUGAUACUGGAUGGCUUGAGUGUGGGAGAGGGAUGCGGAAUUCCAGGUGUAGCGGUGAAAUGCGUAGAUAUCUGGAGGAACACCGGUGGCGAAGGCGGCAUCCUGGACCAACACUGACGCUGAGUGAGCGAAAGCCAGGGGAGCAAACGGGG
rnacentral:rRNA from 1 species